rnacentral:rRNA from 1 species
UCUCCUGGAAACGGGUGGUAAUGCCGGAUGCUCCGCCCCCUCGCAUGGGGGGUCGGGAAGGCUUUUGCGGAAUGGGAUGGGGUCGCGUCCUAUCAGCUUGUUGGCGGGGCGACGGCCCACCAAGGCUUCGACGGGUAGCCGGCCUGAGAGGGCGACCGGCCACAUUGGGACUGAGAUACGGCCCAGACUCCUACGGGAGGCAGCAGUGGGGAAUAUUGCACAAUGGGGGGAACCCUGAUGCAGCGACGCCGCGUGCGGGAUGGAGGCCUUCGGGUCGUGAACCGCUUUUGAUUGGGAGCAAGCGUGAGUGAGUGUACCUUUCGAAUAAGCACCGGCUAACUACGUGCCAGCAGCCGCGGUAAUACGUAGGGUGCAAGCGUUGUCCGGAAUCAUUGGGCGUAAAGGGCUCGUAGGGGUUCGUCGCGUCCGGUGUGAAAGCCCAUCGCUUAACGGUGGUCUGCGCCGGGUACGGCGGCUUGAGUGCGGCAGGGGAGGCUGGAAUCCCGGGUACGGUGGAUGUGUAGAUAUCGGGAGACACC